CCUACGGGUGGCUGCAGUGAGGAAUAUUGGUCAAUGGACGAGAGCCUGAACCAGCCAAGUAGCGUGAAGGAUGACUGCCCUAUGGGUUGUAAACUUCUUUUAUAUGGGAAUAAAAUGUUCCACGUGUGUGAUUUUGUAUGUACUAUAUGAAUAAGGAUCGGCUAACUCCGUGCCAGCAGCCGCGGUAAUACGGAGGAUCCGAGCGUUAUCCGGAUUUAUUUGGUUUAAAGGGAGCGUAGGUGGAUUGUUAAGUCAGUUGUGAAAGUUUGCGGGUCAACCGUAAAAUUGCAGUUGUAACUGGCAGUCGUGAGUACAGUAGAGGUAGGCGGAAUUCGUGGUGUAGCGGUGAAAGGCUUAGAUAUAACGAAGAACUCCGAUUGCGAAGGCAGUUGACUGGACUGCAACUGACACUGAGGCUCGAAAGUGUGGGUAUCAAACAGGAUUAGAUACCCUUGUAGUC
rnacentral:rRNA from 1 species